GGUUGUAUGGUGUAACGGUUAGCACGCGAGAUUCUGAUUCUCGAGACCUGGGUUCACUCCCAGUACGACCU
rnacentral:tRNA from 1 species